rnacentral:rRNA from 1 species
AUGGUCCUACGGGGGGCAGCAGUGAGGAAUAUUGGUCAAUGGACGAGAGUCUGAACCAGCCAAGUAGCGUGAAGGAUGACUGCCCUAUGGGUUGUAGCCUUCUUUUAUAAAGGAAUAAAACGAGGCACGUGUGCCUUUUUGCAUGUACUUUAUGAAUAAGGAUCGGCUAACUCCGUGCCAGCAGCCGCGGUAAUACGGAGGAUCCGAGCGAUAUCCGGAUUUAUUGUGUUUA